CCCUAGUACUAGACAUGUGAAAAAUUAGUAUUAGUGAAAUUUAAUAAUUUUGGCAGUUAAUUGUUGUUUAGAGGAGCUUGUUUUAUGGAAAUAGCUCUUUAUAUUUUGUUAAUAAGAGAUUUAUUCAUCUCCGUUAUUAGAUAAAAAUUGUAAUAAUUAUUGUUAUAAUUUCAGGUCAAGAUGUAGUCUUUAUUAGGAUGAAUUAGCUACAUUUAUGGAAUAAUGGAUUAUUGGGAAGAAUUUUUUUAGGAAAUUGAAUUUAGUUGUAAUAUUAACUAGAAAGUUAAUAUGAAAAUUUAUUGAUUAGUGUA
rnacentral:rRNA from 1 species